GACGAACGCUGGCGGCGUGCUUAACACAUGCAAGUCGAACGGAAAGGCCCUGCUUUUGUGGGGUGCUCGAGUGGCGAACGGGUGAGUAACACGUGAGUAACCUGCCCUUGACUUUGGGAUAACUUCAGGAAACUGGGGCUAAUACCGGAUAGGAGCUCCUGCUGCAUGGUGGGGGUUGGAAAGUUUCGGCGGUUGGGGAUGGACUCGCGGCUUAUCAGCUUGUUGGUGGGGUAGUGGCUUACCAAGGCUUUGACGGGUAGCCGGCCUGAGAGGGUGACCGGCCACAUUGGGACUGAGAUACGGCACAGACUCCUACGGGAGGCAGCAGUGGGGAAUAUUGCACAAUGGGCGGAAGCAUGAUGCAGCAACGCCGCGUGCGGGAUGACGGCCUUCGGGUUGUAAACCGCUUUCGCCUGUGACGAAGCGUGAGUGACGGUAAUGGGUAAAGAAGCACCGGCUAACUACGUG
rnacentral:rRNA from 1 species